rnacentral:rRNA from 1 species
GACGAACGCUGGCGGCGUGCUUAACACAUGCAAGUCGAACGGAAAGGCCCUGCUUGCAGGGUGCUCGAGUGGCGAACGGGUGAGUAACACGUGGGUGAUCUGCCCCUUACUUUGGGAUAAGCCUGGGAGACUGGGUCUAAUACUGGAUAGGACCAUGCUGUAGGUGGUGUGGUGGAAAGAUUAGUUUCGGUAAGGGAUGAGCUCGCGGCCUAUCAGCUUGUUGGUGGGGUAAUGGCCUACCAAGGCGUCGACGGGUAGCCGGCCUGAGAGGGUGGACGGCCACAUUGGGACUGAGAUACGGCCCAGACUCCUACGGGAGGCAGCAGUGGGGAAUAUUGCACAAUGGGCGCAAGCCUGAUGCAGCGACGCCGCGUGGGGGAUGACGGCCUUCGGGUUGUAAACUCCUUUCAGCCAUGACGAAGCCCUUGUGGUGACGGUAGUGGUAGAAGAAGCACCGGCUAACUACGUG